UUUGGAGGACUCUAACCUUGAUUUUCCAGCUUUGAGCUCCCUCUGGAAGCGCAGCAGCAAAACACUAUCAAGAAACUGCCUCCUGGCUAACAUUCUCAGCAAACCCUCAUGGCUAUUUACGGAAAUGAGCAGCCCAACAAAGCAAGAGAGAUCAUGAUUCACAGAUCGUUUACACAGACCCGGAGACCAACACGUCUUUGGACUGAAAAAGAGGAGCAAUCUGCAGCCUCCAGCCUCACCCAGUUGUGUUAUCAAUCGCACUUACAAAGACACUACAUGACUGAGGGUCUUUGGAGGAGGUCCAGAGGAGAGGAGCAAGAAAAAGGUCAGGGAAACAUGAUCCAUGCAGAAAUGCCAAAAGAAGCUGAUCAGCCUCUAGAGGUGAAGACUGUCAACAGAUAUGGUCACAAUGCUGCCCUGCUGAAAAUUCUGUUGCCAAAGAGCAGAGAGAUUUAUCCUCCCUAAACGGAAAAAUCUCUAGAAAAAUUACUUAUGGGAUUGAGCUACAGGAAGGUGCAAUCAGGCUGGAUGAUGCACUUUUAUGGGGGGAUGGCUAUGGAAAGACACUACAAUUAAAACAUGCUGAGAUGUUAAAGGCAGCCUACACAGAAAUAGCUUGGGAAUGCAUUUGAAGUGUUUACAAACCGUCUGAAUUUUUUCUCUAACUAGUCUUUACAUUUCCCUUCCCAGUAAUUCAUUUCAUUUCUUCCUGCUCUUAAGACUUCCAAAUAAAGGUUUAUUGUCUUCCA
rnacentral:lncRNA from 1 species